UACGGAGGGUGCAAGCGUUGCUCGGAAUUAUUGGGCGUAAAGGGUAGGUAGGUGGUCUCAUUUGUCUGGGGUGAAAGCCUUGAGCUUAACUCAAGAAGUGCCCCAGAAACGGUGAGACUAGAGUCUUGGAGGGGGUCGUGGAAUUCCCGGUGUAGCGGUGAAAUGCGUAGAGAUCGGGAGGAACACCGAUGGCGAAGGCAGCCCCCUGGGCCAACACUGACGCUCAGGCACGAAAGCGUGGGGAGCAAACAGG
rnacentral:rRNA from 1 species